AUGUGUAUAAGAGACAGGUGAGUCAUCGAAUCUUUGAACGCAACUUGCGCUUAAAAUCAAUCAUUUUAAGCACACUUGUUUGAGUGUCGGUUUAUAACACACUUUUAAUGUGUUUGAGUUUCAUCUUUGUUUUCAAAGACGUUACUUUAAAACUAUGCUAUGAUAUUUGAUUAUCUUUCACUUCUUAGUAUUUCUUUGAUUUGAAAAAAGAUAACUCUUAUAUCAUUCAUUCCUCUCAAUUUCUCGACCUCAAAUCAAGUGAGAUUACCGGCUGAACUUAAGCAUAUCAAUAAGCGGAGG
rnacentral:misc_RNA from 1 species